rfam:Bombyx mori DNA, contig: Bm_scaf31_contig19518, strain: p50T/Dazao, build 2, whole genome shotgun sequence.
ACAACAUUCGGACCGUCGGUCUACCGAGUAAUAUCACCCGCUCGGUGGAAGAUCUUCCCUUUGUCGU